rnacentral:rRNA from 1 species
GACGAACGCUGGCGGCGUGCUUAACACAUGCAAGUCGAACGGAAAGGCCCUGCUUUUGUGGGGUGCUCGAGUGGCGAACGGGUGAGUAACACGUGAGUAACCUGCCCUUGACUUUGGGAUAACUUCAGGAAACUGGGGCUAAUACCGGAUAGGAGCUCCUGCUGCAUGGUGGGGGUUGGAAAGUUUCGGCGGUUGGGGAUGGACUCGCGGCUUAUCAGCUUGUUGGUGGGGUAGUGGCUUACCAAGGCUUUGACGGGUAGCCGGCCUGAGAGGGUGACCGGCCACAUUGGGACUGAGAUACGGCGCAGACUCCUACGGGAGGCAGCGGUGGGGAAUAUUGCACAAUGGGCGGAAGCCUGAUGCAGCAACGCCGCGUGCGGGAUGACGGCCUUCGGGUUGUAAACCGCUUUCGCCUGUGACGAAGCGUGAGUGACGGUAAUGGGUAAAGAAGCACCGGCUAACUACGUG